UUUAUUGAUAUAUACAAUUUAGUCAUACUAGCAGCUUUAGUAUCGGAUGAUAAACAAAGACAUAUAACUAAUAUUUUAUCACUUAAACAUGAAACACAAAAAUAUAUACACAAAAUUAUAGAAUAUUUAGAAAAAGAGGUAAAUGGCUUUUUUUUUUUUAAUUUUAUUUAUUUGGUUGUUGUUACCGUUGUUAGCAUUGUUAUGGUUGCUACUGUCAUUGUUAUUAUUGCUGCUAUUGUUUUUUUUUUUUAUUUUAUUUUUUUUUGAUAGUCAAUUUAAUUAAACAAUUUGUUAUUUUUAUAAUUAUUUCAGAAAAAUCUAAAUCAGGAUAAUAAAUUAUUAACACAUAAUAAUUCUGAAAUUAGUAAGACAAAAAAAAAUUGCACAUAAGUAUCUUUUUUUAAAAAAAAUGAAUACCCAAAUAACUAUUAUAAAAUUUGUAAAAAUGAUAUAUGAACAAAGAUCUUGUUUUUUUAACAUUUUUAUCUAUAUAUUAGAUAAUAAAAAAUAAAAAUGUAAACUUCUGUUUACUAUUGUAUAGAUCCAUUAACAAGCACUUAUAUAUAUAUAUAUAUAUAUAUAAGUACAAUCAUAAUAUGAACGUAAUAUAUAUAUAUAUACAUAUGUAUAUCAUUUUUUUUUUUCUUUUAAUUUUUGAAUCAUUCCAAAUAAUAAUUUACAUUAUCUUUAUAGAUAUCGAGGUAAUACAAAUAUAAAAAAAUUGCAGUACAUAUUUUAAACUAUUAUAUAUAUAUACAAUCAACCAUAUUGUAUGUACAUGUAUAACUUCUAUUAACAUUUAUAGGAUAUAAAUGAGACAUUAAAAAAUGAAAUAAAACAAUUGAAAAAAAAAAUCAAAGAUUUAGAAACAGAAAAUGAAAACUUAAGCAACUCUUUAACAGAAAAAACCAAAAUUAUAGAAGAGAACAAAGUUGUAAUAGAAAAUUUUCAAACAAAAUUAAAUACAUCCGUUGAAACAACUAAAAAUAAAUAUAUUACACAAAUAGAAGAACAAGACAAAAAAAUCCAUGAGUUGCAAAACAAGUUAGAAAAACAAUUUAAAGAUAGUAGUCAAAUAGAAAAAGAACUAAAAAAUAAAAUAAAAGAGCUAGAGGAUGAACAAAAUAUACUUAAACAAGAGAAUCAAAAUAAUGCAACUUUGCAAAAUAAAAUUAAUAUAUAUAAGGGAAAAUUAGACAGCCUCUUAACAGUUCAAAAUAUAAAUAAGGAGUUAGAAGACAAGCUCAAAAACAAUACACAGAAAAUGGUUAAUAUGGAACAAGAAAUAGAAAAAUUCAAAGCUGAGACAACUAAAUUGAAAAAAUAUGAAGAAAAAAUUGAAGGUUUGUCAUUUUACUUUAUCUUACUAUACUUUAUAUUAUUUUAUUAUGUACUAUUCCAUUUGUUGUUAUUUUUAUUUAUUAUUGUUUCAACGUAAAAAUAUAAGCUAUUAUAUAAACACUUCUCUCUUUUUUUUUUUUUUCAUUAAUAACAGAAAUAAAUGCACAACUGGAGAAAGCA
ensembl:lncRNA